UAAUGUAAAAAUAAAGUGUUAUUGUGGGGAAAUGCUAUUGCAAGCUCUGUUAUGCAUCUUAUAUAUAUAUAUAAAAAGUUCAGAAAAGCGAAGUUAACGCAGAACCAGACAAAACGAACUGUUGAAAGAAAAGAGGCGGACUUCCCGUUUGCAUGUGCAACAAUGUGUCAUAUUACGCGGGAAUAUCCAUCUGACGCCCAGCAAAUGCCCGGGAAGUUAUAGCGCUCAUCCACAGAAGAAAUAAAAGUUUUUAACUCGUGUUAUCAUAAUGUUGGCAAGAACACAUUUUUUAGACUGGCGAUAUUAUUUGGACCUAUUCAGUUUGGACUUUUAUUCAAUUUUUCAGGCUUUAUACGACGGUUUGCAGUUGAAUGAGAGGGGAAAACUUUAAUGAUAGGACUACCAUAAUUGAGCGCCUACUGAGGUUUCUCAGAAGAGCCUGGACGUUUCUGUGCUGCGGUGGACACGAGAACUCUGAGAUUCCGCUCUCAGUUGAAGAAACAGCGCCACCUCUUGGUGUAAGCACUGUACGACCAUGGAAUCACAGUGAGGGUGGAGGUAUUAUUAGAACGGUUUAGAACACUUGAAUCAAGAUGAAGAAACGACUUUAUAAGUUUCUCACUUCAGAGAUGGAGAAUUGGCCCCCUUGUAAUCAUCUUCGUCCCAGCCACUUAUAUCACAAAUCUGUGAGAGGAGCCGAUGUCAGGAGGUGGGGCAGAGUUAUGACGCUCUCGCCUCAGGUGUGCACCUAAUCUAGUCUAUUUGAUGUGAUAGUGAGUCCUGCCAAGUUGUUGGCCGGCCCCAAGAUACAAUCAUUCAUUCACUCUUCAUUAAGCCAGAAUAUCAGGGCUGAUGCGAGUCAGUGUGAUAUUCCUUUUAUACCAAUUCAACAAGACAGUUGUAACUAAACAGUUAGUAAGUACAUUUCUUCUCUUCCAAAGAAAGUAGUUUAAAAAGAAGCAAAAGCAUCCAGCUUUCUGCAUGUUACCAAACAAUGCACACUGAAUAUAAAUAUGGUGGACAGAAACAAAGUAUAUUUACAUUUAUCUCAAUGUUAUUGGAGUAUUUUGAUUUUGGAGACUUUUUUUACUUCUCUUCAACUUACUUCAAAACAUAUCUUACUUUUUGCUUCACUGCAUUUCAUAAAUAUCGUGCCUUGCUCCUCAUUCAUUUGAAGACAUGGUGGAGAUCUGAUGUCUGUUGUUCAUGCUAUCAUCACCAGCAGGGUGGAUUAUUGUAAUUGGCUCCUCACUGGUCUUCGCUGCUGCCAGGAUUCUGAGCAGAACCAGAAAACAUGAACACAUCACACCAGUCCUCAGCUGUUUUAGCUGUUACGCCAGCCGCAGCUGGAACCAGCUUCCAGAAGAGAUCAGGUGUGCUCCAACAGUAGCCACAUUCAAAUCCAGACUCAAAACAUCUUUUUAUCUAUGCAUUUCCGGAUUGAACACUGUGCUACUGUUUAUACUUUAUUUUAUACACACUAUCUUUUUAUUCUUUUAAUUCCUUUUCCUGUUUUUAUUUAAUUUUUAAUGUAUUUUAUAUCUUUCAUGUAUCAUCUUGUUAUUUCUGACUUUUAAUG